rnacentral:rRNA from 1 species
AGCGAACGCUGGCGGCAGGCUUAACACAUGCAAGUCGAGCGGGCACUUCGGUGUCAGCGGCAGACGGGUGAGUAACACGUGGGAACGUACCCUUUGGUUCGGAAUAACGCUGGGAAACUAGCGCUAAUACCGGAUACGCCCUUUUGGGGAAAGGCUUGCUGCCGAAGGAUCGGCCCGCGUCUGAUUAGCUAGUUGGUGGGGUAAUGGCCUACCAAGGCAACGAUCAGUAGCUGGUCUGAGAGGAUGAUCAGCCACACUGGGACUGAGACACGGCCCAGACUCCUACGGGAGGCAGCAGUGGGGAAUAUUGGACAAUGGGCGCAAGCCUGAUCCAGCCAUGCCGCGUGAGUGAUGAAGGCCUUAGGGUUGUAAAGCUCUUUUGACCGGGACGAUAAUGACGGUACCGGAAGAAUAAGCCCCGGCUAACUUCGUG